rnacentral:rRNA from 1 species
GACGAACGCUGGCGGCGUGCCUAAUACAUGCAAGUCGAGCGAACAGGCGAGGAGCUUGCUCCAAUGUCGAGAGCGGCGGACGGGUGAGUAACGCGUGGAUAAUCUACCUUUAAGCGUGGGACAACUUCGGGAAACGGGUGCUAAUACCGGAUAAUAUCUUGAACCAUAAGGUUUAAUAGUGAAAGAUGCAAUUGCAGCACCUAAUAGAUGGCUCCCCGUCGCUUUAGUUGGUUGGUAAGUAAACGGCCUACCAGGGGAACAAAGCUUAGCCGACCUGAGAGGUGAUUCGCCCACACGGGAACUGGAACACGCUCCAGACGCCUACGGGAGGAACCAGAAGGGAAUCUUCCGCAAGGGGGGAAAGCUGGACGGAGCAACGCGGCGUGGGGAAGAAAGGUCUUCGGUUCUAAAAACCCGUUUGUAAGGGAGAAACAUAUGUGGAGUGAAAUGUGCACGACGUGACGGUACCUAAUCAGAAAGCCACGGCUAACUACGUG